rnacentral:rRNA from 1 species
UACGUAGGGACCAAGCGUUGUUCGGAUUUACUGGGCGUAAAGGGCGCGUAGGCGGCUUAACAAGUCACUUGUGAAAUCUCCGGGCUUAACUCGGAACGGCCAAGUGAAACUGUCAAGCUAGAGUGCAGAAGGGGCAAUCGGAAUUCUUGGUGUAGCGGUGAAAUGCGUAGAUAUCGUGAGGAACACCAGAGGCGAAGGCGGCUACCUGGACAAUUACUGACGCUCAGGCACGAAAGCGUGGGGAGCAAAAGGG